AAGUCUGGUGCCAUUCCGAGUCCCGCGGACGAACUUCGCCCACGCCCCCCACCAAGGCUAUAGCCCACCCGUUUUUUGGCCAUUUUUCCGCUGGCGGGUCUUGGGACCCCGGCCUUCGGGGGCUGUUUUUUGGGCGCGGCAGUGCCCGUGGCCUAUUUUUGGCACACGGAGGCCGCCCGCCAAGUCUGGUGCCAUUCCGAGUCCCGCGGACGAACUUCGCCCACGGCCCCCACCAAGGCUAUAGGCCACCCGUUUUUUGGCCAAUUUUCCGCUGGGGGGUCUUGGGACCCCGACCUUCGGGGGCUGUUUUUUGGGCGCGGCUGUGCCCGUGGCCUAUUUUUGGCACACGGAGGCCGCCCGCCAAGUCUGGUGCCAUUCCGAGUCCCGCGGACGAACUUCGCCCACGCCCCCCACCAAGGCUAUAGCCCACCCGUUUUUUGGUCAUUUUUCCGCUGGGGGGUCUUGGGACCCCGACCUUCGGGGGCUGUUUUUUGGGCGCGGCUGUGCCCGUGGCCUAUUUUUGGCACACGGAGGCCGCCCGCCAAGUCUGGUGCCAUUCCGAGUCCCGCGGACAAACUUCGCCCACGACCCCCACCAAGGCUAUAGGCCACCCGUUUUUUGGCCAUUUUUCCGCUGGGGGGGUCUUGGGACCCCGACCUUCGGGGGCUGUUUUUUGGACGCGGCUGUGCCCGUGGCCUAUUUUUGGCACACGGAGGCCGCCCGCCAAGUCUGGUGCCAUUCCGAGUCCCGCGGACGAACUUCGCCCACGGCCCCCACCAAGGCUAUAGGCCACCCGUUUUUUGGCCAAUUUUCCGCUGGGGGGUCUUGGGACCCCGACCUUCGGGGGCUGUUUUUUGGGCGCGGCUGUGCCCGUGGCCUAUUUUUGGCACACGGAGGCCGCCCGCCAAGUCUGGUGCCAUUCCGAGUCCCGCGGACGAACUUCGCCCACGCCCCCCACCAAGGCUAUAGCCCACCCGUUUUUUGGUCAUUUUUCCGCUGGGGGGUCUUGGGACCCCGACCUUCGGGGGCUGUUUUUUGGGCGCGGCUGUGCCCGUGGCCUAUUUUUGGCACACGGAGGCCGCCCGCCAAGUCUGGUGCCAUUCCGAGUCCCGCGGACGAACUUCGCCCACGGCCCCCACCAAGGCUAUAGCCCACCCGUUUUUUGGCCAUUUUUCCGCUGGGGGGUCUUGGGACCCCGACCUUCGGGGGCUGUUUUUUGGGCGCGGCUGUGCCCGUGGCCUAUUUUUGGCACACGGAGGCCGCCCGCCAAGUCUGGUGCCAUUCCGAGUCCCGCGGACGAACUUCGCCCACGCCCCCCACCAAGGCUAUAGCCCACCCGUUUUUUGGUCAUUUUUCCGCUGGGGGUCUUGGGACCCCGACCUUCGGGGGCUGUUUUUUGGGCGCGGCUGUGCCCGUGGCCUAUUUUUGGCACACGGAGGCCGCCCGCCAAGUCUGGUGCCAUUCCGAGUCCCGCGGACGAACUUCGCCCACGCCCCCCACCAAGGCUAUAGCCCACCCGUUUUUUGGCCAUUUUUCCGCUGGGGGGUCUUGGGACCCCGACCUUCGGGGGCUGUUUUUUGGGCGCGGCUGUGCCCGUGGCCUAUUUUUGGCACACGGAGGCCGCCCGCCACGUCUGGUGCCAUUCCGAGUCCCGCGGACGAACUUCGCCCACGGCCCCGACCAAGGCUAUAGCCCACCCGUUUUUUGGCCAUUUUUCCGCUGGGGGGUCUUGGGACCCCGACCUUCGGGGGCUGUUUUUUGGGCGCGGCUGUGCCCGUGGCCUAUUUUUGGCACACGGAGGCCGCCCGCCAAGUCUGGUGCCAUUCCGAGUCCCGCGGACGAACUUCGCCCACGGCCCCCACCAAGGCUAUAGCCCACCCGUUUUUUGGCCAUUUUUCCGCUGGGGGGUCUUGGGACCCCGACCUUCGGGGGCUGGUUUUUGGGCGCGGCUGUGCCCGUGGCCUAUUUUUGGCACACGGAGGCUGCCCGCCAAGUCUGGUGCCAUUCCGAGUCCCGCGGACGAACCUCGCCCACGCCCCCCACCAAGGCUAUAGCCCACCCGUUUUUUGGCCAUUUUUCCGCUGGGGGGUCUUGGGACCCCGACCUUCGGGGGCUGAUUUUUGGGCGCGGCUGUGCCCGUGGCCUAUUUUUGGCACACAGAGGCCGCCCGCCAAGUAUGGUGCCAUUCCGAGUCCCGCGGACGAACUUUGCCCACGCCCCCCACCAAGGCUAUAGCCCACCCGUUUUUUGGCCAUUUUUCCGCUGGGGGGUCUUGGGACCCCGACCUUCGGGGGCUGAUUUUUGGGCGCGGCUGUGCCCGUGGCCUAUUUUUGGCACACGGAGGCCGCCCGCCAAGUCAGGGGCCAUUCCGAGUCCCGCGGACGAAGUUCGCCCACGCCCCCCACCAAGGCUAUAGCCCACCCGUUUUUUGGCCAUUUUUCCACUGGGGGGUCUUGGGACCCCGACCUUCGGGGGCUGAUUUUUGUGCGCGGCUGUGCCCGUGGCCUAUUUUUGGCACACAGAGGCCGCCCGCCAAGUAUGGUGCCAUUCCGAGUCCCGCAGACGAACUUCGCCCACGCACCCCACCAAGGCUAUAGCCCACCCGUUUUUUGGCCAUUUUUCCGCUGGGGGGUCUUGGGACCCCGACCUUCGGGGGCUGAUUUUUGGGCGCGGCUGUGCCCGUGGCCUAUUUUUGGCACACAAAGGCCGCCCGCCAACUAUGGUGCCAUUCCGAGUCCCGCGGACGAACUUCGCCCACGCCCCUCACCAAGGCUAUAGCCCACCCGUUUUUUGGCCAUUUUUCCGCUGGGGGGUCUUGGGACCCCGACCUUCGGGGGCUGAUUUUUGGGCGCGGCUGUGCCCUUGGCCUAUUUUUGGCACACGGAGGCCGCCCGCCAAGUCAGGGGCCAUUCCGAGUCCCGCGGACGAAGUUCGCCCACGCCCCCCACCAAGGCUAUAGCCCACCCGUUUUUUGGCCAUUUUUCCACUGGGGCGGCUUGGGACCCCGACCUUCCGGGGCUGAUUAUUGUGCGCGGCUGUACCCGUGGCUAUUUUUGGCACACAGAGGCCGCCCGCCAAGUAUGGUGCCAUUCCGAGUCCCGCGGACGAACUUCGCCCACGCCCCCCAUCAAGGCUAUAGCCCACCCGUUUUUUGGCCAUUUUUCCGCUGGGGGGUCUUGGGACCCCGACCUUCGGGGGCUGAUUUUUGGACGCGGCUGUGCCCGUGGCCUAUUUUUGGCACACAGAGGCCGCCCGCCAAGUAUGGUGCCAUUCUAAGUCCCGCGGACGAACUUCGCCCACGCCGCCCACCAAGGCUAUAGCCCACCCGUUUUGUGGCCAUUUUUCCGCUGGGGGGUCUUGGGACCCCGACCUUCGGGGGCUGAUUUUUGGGCGCGGCUGUGCCCGUGGCCUAUUUUUGGCACACGGAGGCCGCCCGCCAAGUCAGGGGCCAUUCCGAGUCCCGCGGACGAAGUUCGCCCACGCCCCCCACCAAGGCUAUAGCCCACCCGUUUUUUGGCCAUUUUUCCACUGGGGGGUCUUGGGACCCCGACCUUCGGGGGCUGAUUUUUGGGCGCGGCUGUGCCCGUGGCCUAUUUUUGGCACACGGAGGCCGCCCGCCAAGUAUGGUGCCAUUCCGAGUCCCGCGGACGAACUUCGCCCACGCCCCCCACCAAGGCUAUAGCCCACCCGUUUUUUGGCCAUUUUUCCGCUGGGGGGUCUUGGGACCCCGACCUUCGGGGGCUGAUUUUUGGGCGCGGCUGUGCCCGUGGCCUAUUGUUGGCACACAGAGGCGGCCCGCCAAGUAUGGUGCCAUUCCGAGUCCCGCGGACGAAGUUCGCCCACGCCCCCCACCAAGGCUAUAGCCCACCCGUUUUUUGGCCAUUUUUCCGCUGGGGGGUCUUGGGACCCCGACCUUCGGGGGCUGAUUUUUGGGCGCGGCUGUGCCCGUGGCCUAUUUUUGGCACACGGAGGCCACCCGCCAGGUCUGAGGCCAUUCCGAGUCCCGCGGACGAACUUCGCCCACGCCCCCCACCAAGGCUAUAGCCCACCCUUUUUUUGGCCAUUUUUCCGCUGGGGGGUCUGGGGACCCCACCUUCGCGGCUGUGCCCGUGGCCUAUUUUUGGCACACAGAGGCCGCCCGCCAAGUAUGGUGCCAUUCCGAGUCCCGCGGACGAACUUCGCCCACGCCGCCCACCAAGGCUAUAGCCCACCUGUUUUUUGGCCAUUUUUCCGCUGGGGGGUCUUGGGACCCCGACCUUCGGGGGCUGAUUUUUGGGCGCGGCUGUGCCCGUGGCCUAUUUUUGGCACACGGAGGCCGCCCGCCAAGUCAGGGGCCAUUCCGAGUCCCGCGGACGAAGUUCGCCCACGCCCCCCACCAAGGCCAUAGCCCACCCGUUUUUUGGCCAUUUUUCCGCUGGGGGGUCUUGGGACCCCGACCUUCGGGGGCUGAUUUUUGGGCGCGGCUGUGCCCGGGGCCUAUUUUUGGCACACGGAGGCCGCCCGCCAAGUCAGGGGCCAUUCCGAGUCCCGCGGACGAAGUUAGCCCACGCCCCCCACCAAGGCUAUAGCCCACCCGUUUUUUGGCCAUUUUUCCGCUGGGGGGUCUUGGGACCCCGACCUUCGUGGGCUGAUUUUUGGGCGCGGCUGUGCCCGUGGCCUAUUUUUGGCACACAGAGGCCGCCCGCCAAGUAUGGUGCCAUUCCGAGUCCCGCGGACGAACUUCGCCCACGCCGCCCACCAAGGCUAUAGCCCACCCGUUUUUUGGCCAUUUUUCCGCUGGGGGGUCUUGGGACCCCGACCUUCGGGGGCUGAUUUUUGGGCGCGGCUGUGCCCGUGGCCUAUUUUUGGCACACGGAGGCCGCCCGCCAAGUCAGGGGCCAUUCCGAGUCCCGCGGACGAAGUUCGCCCACGCCCCCCACCAAGGCUAUAGCCCACCCGUUUUUUGGCCAUUUUUCCGCUGGGGGGUCUUGGGACCCCGACCUUCGGGGGCUGAGUUUUGGGCGCGGCUGUGCCCGUGGCCUAUUUUUGGCACACAGAGGCCGCCCGCCAAGUAUGGUGCCAUUCCGAGUCCCGCGGACGAUUUUCGCCCACGCCGCCCACCAAGGCUAUAGCCCACCCGUUUUUUGGCCAUUUUUCCACUGGGGGGUCUUGGGACCCCGACCUUCGGGGGCUGAUUUUUGUGCGCGGCUGUGCCCGUGGACUUUUUUUGGCACACAGAGGCCGCCCGCCAAGUAUGGUGCCAUUCCGAGUCCCGCGGAUGAACUUCGCCCACGCCCCUCACCAAGGCUAUAGCCCACCCGUUUUUUGGCCAUUUUUCCGCUGGGGGGUCUUGGGACCCCGACCUUCGGGGGCUGAUUUUUGGGCGCGGCUGUGCCCUUGGCCUAUUUUUGGCACACGGAGGCCGCCCGCCAAGUCAGGGGCCAUUCCGAGUCCCGCGGACGAAGUUCGCCCACGCCCCCCACCAAGGCUAUAGCCCACCCGUUUUUUGGCCAUUUUUCCACUGGGGCGGCUUGGGACCCCGACCUUCCGGGGCUGAUUAUUGUGCGCGGCUGUACCCGUGGCUAUUUUUGGCACACAGAGGCCGCCCGCCAAGUAUGGUGCCAUUCCGAGUCCCGCGGACGAACUUCGCCCACGCCCCCCAUCAAGGCUAUAGCCCACCCGUUUUUUGGCCAUUUUUCCGCUGGGGGGUCUUGGGACCCCGACCUUCGGGGGCUGAUUUUUGGGCGCGGCUGUGCCCGUGGCCUAUUUUUGGCACACGGAGGCCGCCCGCCAAGUAUGGUGCCAUUCCGAGUCCCGCGGACGAACUUCGCCCACGCCCCCCACCAAGGCUAUAGCCCACCCGUUUUUUGGCCAUUUUUCCUGCUGGGGGGUCUUGGGACCCCGACCUUCGGGGGCUGAUUUUUGGGCGCGGCCUGUGCCCGUGGCCUAUUUUUGGCACACNNNNNNNNNNNNNNNNNNNNNNNNNNNNNNNNNNNNNNNNNNNNNNNNNNNNNNNNNNNNNNNNNNNNNNNNNNNNNNNNNNNNNNNNNNNNNNNNNNNNNNNNNNNNNNNNNNNNNNNNNNNNNNNNNNNNNNNNNNNNNNNNNNNNNNNNNNNNNNNNNNNNNNNNNNNNNNNNNNNNNNNNNNNNNNNNNNNNNNNNNNNNNNNNNNNNNNNNNNNNNNNNNNNNNNNNNNNNNNNNNNNNNNNNNNNNNNNNNNNNNNNNNNNNNNNNNNNNNNNNNNNNNNNNNNNNNNNNNNGGGACCCCGACCUUCGGGGGGUGGAUUUUGGGCGCAGGCUGUGCCCGUGGCCUAUUUUUGGCACACGGAGGCCGCCCGCCAAGUCAGGGGCCAUUCCGAGUCCCGCGGACGAAAUUCGCCCACGCCCCCCACCAAGGCUAUAGCCCACCCGUUUGUUGGCCAUUUUUCCGCUGGGGGGUCUUGGGACCCCGACCUUCGGGGGCAGAUUUUUGGGCGCGGCUGUGCCCGUGGCCUAUUUUUGGCACACAGAGGCCGCCCGCCAAGUAUGGUGCCAUUCCGAGUCCCGCGGACGAACUUCGCCCACGCCGCCCACCAAGGCUAUAGCCCACCCGUUUUUUGGCCAUUUUUCCGCUGGGGGGUCUUGGGACCCCGACCUUCGGGGGCUGAUUUUUGGGCGCGGCUGUGCCCGUGGCCUAUUUUUGGCACACGGAGGCCGCCCGCCAAGUCAGGGGCCAUUCCGAGUCCCGCGGACGAAGUUCGCCCACGCCCUCCACCAAGGCUAUAGCCCACCCGUUUUUUGGCCAUUUUUCCGCUAGGGGGUCUUGGGACCCCGACCUUCGGGGGCUGAUUUUUGGGCGCGGCUGUGCCCGUGGUCUAUUUUUGGCACACAGAGGCCGCCCGCCAAGUAUGGUGCCAUUCCGAGUCCUGCGGACGAACUUCGCCCACGCCGCCCACCAAGGCUAAAGCCCACCCGUUUUUUGGCCAUUUUUCCACUGGGGGGUCUUGGGACCCCGACCUUCGGGGGCUGAUUUUUGGGCGCGGCUGUGCCCGUGGCCUAUUUUUGGCACACGGAGGCCGCCCGCCAAGUCAGGGGCCAUUCCGAGUCCCGCGGACGAAGUUCGCCCACGCCCCCCACCAAGGCUAUAGCCCACCCGUUUUUGGCCAUUUU
rnacentral:lncRNA from 1 species